AAUUGGCCUACUCCCGCGUUAAGGAUAGAAGUGAAAAGCCCGGAGUGGAGCGAGGACUUGUAACGGAUAGCCUGGGCCGAA
rnacentral:misc_RNA from 1 species